rnacentral:rRNA from 1 species
CCUACGGGGGGCAGCAGUGAGGAAUAUUGGUCAAUGGUCGGGAGACUGAACCAGCCAAGCCGCGUGAGGGAUGAAGGUACAGAGUAUCGUAAACCUCUUUUGUCAGGGAACAAAGGCGGGGACGUGUCCCCGGAUGAGUGUACCUGAAGAAAAAGCAUCGGCUAACUCCGUGCCAGCAGCCGCGGUAAUACGGAGGAUGCGAGCGUUAUCCGGAUUUAUUGGGUUUAAAGGGUGCGCAGGCGGUCUGUUAAGUCAGCGGUCAAAGCCCGGGGCUCAACCCCGGCCAGCCGUUGAAACUGGUAGUCUUGAGUGGGAGAGAAGUAUGCGGAAUGCGCGGUGUAGCGGUGAAAUGCAUAGAUAUCGCGCAGAACUCCGAUUGCGAAGGCAGCAUGCCGGCUCCACACUGACGCUGAGGCACGAAAGCGUGGGUAUCGAACAGGAUUAGAUACCCUUGUAGUC